UACGUAGGGUGCAGGCGUUAAUCGGAAUUACUGGGCGUAAAGCGUGCGCAGGCGGUUUGCUAAGAGAGAUGUGAAAUCCCCGGGCUUAACCUGGGAACUGCGUUUCUAACUGGCAGGCUUGAGUGUGGCAGAGGGGGGUGGAAUUCCACGUGUAGCAGUGAAAUGCGUAGAGAUGAUGGAGGAACACCGAUGGCGAAGGCAGCCCCCUGGGCUAACACUGACGCUCAUGCACGAAAGCGUGGGGAGCGAAACAGG
rnacentral:rRNA from 1 species